UGGAGAGUUUGAUCCUGGCUCAGGACGAACGCUGGCGGCGUGCUUAAUACAUGCAAGUCGAGGGACGAAACCAAGAUGGGCAACCAUCGAGGCUGAAACCGGCGAACGGGUGAGUAACACGUGGGUAACGCACCCCAGACACAGGAACAACAACGGGAAACCGUUGCUAAUGCCUGAUAACCCCUGCGUACCGCAUGGCGGGCAGGGCAAAGCUCCGGCGGUCUGGGACCGGCCCGCGUCCUAUCAGCUUGUUGGUGGGGUAACGGCCUACCAAGGCGAUGACGGGUAGCUGGCGUGAGAGCGUGACCAGCCACACUGGGACUGAGACACGGCCCAGACUCCUACGGGAGGCAGCAGUAGGGAAUCUUGCACAAUGGGCGAAAGCCUGAUGCAGCGACGCCGCGUGAGGGAUGACGGCCUUCGGGUUGUAAACCUCUUUCAGCGGGGACGAAGCGAAAGUGACGGUACCCGCAGAAGAAGGUCCGGCCAACUACGUGCCAGCAGCCGC
rnacentral:rRNA from 1 species